rnacentral:rRNA from 1 species
GCACCCGCGGUAAUUCCAGCACUAAUAGCAUAUAUUAAUGCUGCUGCUGUUAAAAAGCUCGUAGUUGGAUCAAGAGUCGGACAGUGCACGGUGGCCCCAUUAGCAAAUUUGGCUCCGGUCAUGUUGGCGGUGGCGGAUCAACCCCGUGCGCCAAACUGUCCGCUCUAACAGACCGAAGCGGUUCCCUGUGAGUAGGCCCCUUCAUUGGGGUCGAAAGCGUCUACGCAUCAACCAUAUGCAUACGGGACGUCGGUCAAAAUUACUGUGAACAAACCAGCGUGUCCAAAGCAGGCUAUCGCCUGAAUGUACGAGCAUGGAAUAACAAGGGAUCGAUUCUCUCGGUUCUUUUUGUUGGUUUUUAACCCGAGAAGGAGUAAUUCAGGCCACGGUGUCUGAGUUGGGUUUCCCGUGGCUUCGGCUGAGGCCCCAAUUAGGCCGUGUCCUUACGGGAUCAAUAGGGACUGACGGGGUCGUACGUACUGUCGCGUCAGAGGUGAAAUUCUUAGAUCGCGGCAAGAUGAACUUCUGCGAAAGCAUUCGACAAGAAUGUCUUCAUUAAUCAAGAACGAGAGUGUGGGGAUCGAAGAUGAUCAGAUACCGUCGUAGUCCACUGCUGUAAACAAUGCCGUCUCAGGAUUGAGAAGUGAACUGAAUGACUUUCACAGCACUAACCCCUGAAACGAGAAAUCAAAGAUUAUGGGCUCAGGGGGGAGUACAUUCGCAAGGCCGAAACUUAAAGGAAUUGACGGAAUGACACCACAAGGCGUGGAGUAUGCGGCUUAAUUUGACUCAACACGGGGAAUUUUACUAGGUCAGGACAAUGUAAGGAUUGACAGAUUGAGAGCUCUUUCUCGAUCCAUUGUGUGGUGGUGCAUGGCCGCUCCUGGUUGGUGGAGUGAUUUGUCUGGUUCAUUCCGUUAACGAACGAGAUCUCGACCCUUAAAUAGGUGCCCGUGUCGAUCGUAGUUUCACUCCUGCUCGCUUGCGAGACUAGGAUGGGACGAGACUGCGGGAAUACUUCUUAAGGGGACUGUAUGCGUCUAUAGCAUGCGGAAGAGCGAGCCAAUAGCAGGUCUGUGAUGCUCCUAAAUGUCCUAGGCUGCACGCGCACUACACUGAUGCAAUAAACGAGUCUGACGGCCUUCUGGCAACCUACCUGGAAGCGGGUGGGGAAUCUUUUGAACCUGCAUCGUGAUGAG